rnacentral:rRNA from 1 species
UAGUAGUAUAGGAUAGCCACUAGAAAUGGUGGGUAAUACUGUAUAAUCCCUGCGGGGGAAAGAUUUAUCGCUACUAGAUGAGCCUAUGUCAGAUUAGCUAGUUGGUGGGGUAAUGGCCCACCAAGGCUGUGAUCUGUAGCUGGUCUGAGAGGAUGAUCAGCCACACUGGAACUGAGACACGGUCCAGACUCCUACGGGAGGCAGCAGUGGGGAAUAUUGGACAAUGGGCGCAAGCCUGAUCCAGCUAUGCCGCGUGAGUGAGGAAGGCCUUAGGGUUGUAAAACUCUUUCAGUAGGGAAGAUAAUGACGGUACCUACAGAAGAAGUCCCGGCAAACUCCGUGCCAGCAGCCGCGGUAAUACGGAGGGGGCAAGCGUUGUUCGGAAUUAUUGGGCGUAAAGGGCAUGUAGGCGGUUUGGUAAGUUAAAGGUGAAAUACCAGGGCUUAACCCUGGGGCUGCUUUAAUACUGCAGGACUAGAGUCCGG